rnacentral:rRNA from 1 species
AGCGAACGCUGGCGGCAUGCUUAACACAUGCAAGUCGCACGGGCAGCAAUGUCAGUGGCGGACGGGUGAGUAACGCGUAGGUAUCUAUCCUUGGGUGGGGGACAACUGUGGGAAACUACAGCUAAUACCGCAUGACAACUGAGGUUUAAAGGCGCAAGUCGCCUGGGGAGGAGCCUGCGUACGAUUAGCUAGUUGGUGGGGUAAAGGCCUAC